GCUCAUCACAUCCUGGGGCUGAAGUAGGUCCCAAGGGUAUGGCUGUUCGCCAUUUAAAGUGGUACGCGAGCUGGGUUUAGAACGUCGUGAGACAGUUCGGUCCCUAUCUGCCGUGGGCGCUGGAGAACUGAGGGGGGCUGCUCCUAGUACGAGAGGACCGGAGUGGACGCAUCACUGGUGUUCGGGUUGUCAUGCCAAUGGCACUGCCCGGUAGCUAAAUGCGGAAGAGAUAAGUGCUGAAAGCAUCUAAGCACGAAACUUGCCCCGAGAUGAGUUCUCCCUGACUCCUUGAGAGUCCUGAAGGAACGUUGAAGACGACGACGUUGAUAGGCCGGGUGUGUAAGCGCAGCGAUGCGUUGAGCUAACCGGUACUAAUGAACCGUGAGGCUUAACCUUACAACGCCGAAGCUGUU
rnacentral:rRNA from 1 species